rnacentral:rRNA from 1 species
AUUGAACGCUGGCGGCAGGCUUAACACAUGCAAGUCGAGCGAGUGGCGGACGGGUGAGUAAUGUCUGGGAAACUGCCUGAUGGAGGGGGAUAACUACUGGAAACGGUAGCUAAUACCGCAUACCAUCAGAUGUGCCCAGCUGGGAUUAGCUCGUAGGUGGGGUAUUGGCUCACCAAGGCGACGAUCCCUAGCUGGUCUGAGAGGAUGACCAGCAACACUGGAACUGAGACACGGUCCAGACUCCUACGGGAGGCAGCAGUGUGGAAUAUUGCACAAUGGGCGCAAGCCUGAUGCAGCCAUGCCGCGUGUGUGAAGAAGGCCUUCGGGUUGUAAAGCACUUUCAGCGAGGAGGCGUUACGCGCAGAAGAAGCACCGGCUAACUCCGUGCCAGCAGCCGCGGUAAUUC